rnacentral:lncRNA from 1 species
CCCAUCCUAACCUUUCUACAUGAUGUAUUAGGUAACUCCACCUGUUUCCUGGUGGUUACACCAAGCCCUAAUGUGUCACAUUGAAUCUACUUUCCCCAUCUCUAAUGACACACACAGCCAGAGAUUGGGCACUCAUUACCUCCUCUCCUCUUCACUUCUGUGAUCAAGCCCAGAGCCCACCUCCCCUGUCUUUGCAUCUGCCCCUGUUCACCAUCCUACUUCCUGAGCCAAGUUCACAUCUCCACAGUGGCUCGGCCCUUUUGCUUACCUUCCUCUCUCAAAUCUACCCUCCACAGGGAGAUUGGUGAUCUAUGCAUAACCCUCCCUCUCCCGUGUCUUUGUCAAUUUCAUUCAUAUCCUUGAAUUUCACUCAAGGCCCUUCCUCAUCUGAUCCCUGUCCCUCCCAAGCAGUAUUAUUUCCCUCCUCCUCCAACAGACCCUUCCCUUCCAGCCUGGUCACAGGACUGGCUCCCUGGAGCCCCAUCUGUUUUCUGGACCUCCUGUCCUGUUCAUGCUGGUUCCUCUUCCCCCAUUUCUCGUGUGUGGUGUCAAUUUCCUCUGCUUUGUGCUGGUGCAAAGCCCUCCCCGAAUCUGCACUGAAACUUAAGGUAUUCUGCGUCCCAGACCCAACCCUCAUGCCCGUGCUACUGGAUCACAGAGAAUUCCACCCCAACUAGUGUGCCUCCCGCAGGAGGACUGUUACAAACAGUGGGCUCUCCCAGGCUUUAAGCCAGACCCAUGACAGUGGUACCCUCAGUCAGUGCUCCCCCUACCAGGGAACUUAUCACCCUGUGGUGAUAGCAGGUAUUUCCCUUAGGGGAGGCUCAACACUGAGACUGGCAUUUAUUCCUUCGCAUUAGUGCUUCUCUUGAUUCCCAAAAUGCUCUUACACCUGACUGUUUUUUCAAAUGCCACAAACAUAGCCAACUUCCUG